ensembl:lncRNA
CUUGGCAGAAGAGGAGAUGCAAGCAGGUUAAUAAGAUCAUUUCAGCUUUCCUUUAUGGUACUUGUAGUAAGAACUAUUUUAUAACACAUACAUCAGGUGUUUUCUCCCUUUCCUUAUGUUCUUCAGCCCUUCUGGCUCCUUCCAGCCACUUUUCUUACAUUACAGAUGUCCUUCUGUAACAUGGCCACAGCUACUUCAGGAGCUUGGACUUUUUUUUCCCUUUUUCUUCCUUUUUUUCUAUUUCUAGUUUUCUGCUGUACUUUUCUCAACAACACAAAUAGAUCCUUCAUUGUCUGGAUGGAUUAUAGCAUUUAAACCUUCUGUAUUUCAAAAGAUAAAAUGAAUGGUGCCUACAUGUGAUUCAAGAGAUAAAUUGAAUAGUGCCCAUAUCACCACUGAUAACAUUCAAAUUAAACUAAUACAGAAGUUGCCAACAUGUCUAGGCCAAUGGCCUAUUUCUGAUGCUUUUCCAAACUUUCCUGAUCUCUCAGGUGGUCACCAAAGAAAGUUUUCAAUAUGUAUGCAUAAACCAACAGUUACUUAAAAUGUGUCUUGACUACAAAAAUAUAGGAGGUAUCUUCCCAAUAUUUUAGAUGUUAUAAAGGCAAUUGACUGUGUUUGCAUACCUUUCAUCCAUGCUUGUUUGGUAAAGUCAGGAAAUUACUCAUUGUCACGUUUGCUACUUUCAGAAAUGUCUGCCCAAGGUAUUCAUUUAUUUUCUUUUCACAGGGCAUCCUUCUAAAUGAGGCCCAUAGAAUCAUCAUCGUUUUUGAGGGGGAAGAGCUGAGGUAGAGCUGCACUGUAAUAUCUCUGAUAUAUAAAGAUGCUGGAAGCCAAAUUUCCCCACUAAACAACCUUACAUGAUUCAGUAACAAUCUGCUGCAGGAAUCACUGACAUGGAUGACUGUUCUUUGACUUUUAACCUCCAGGCCAGGACAGCCUUCAGGAACCACUGUAAGUUUAUAAGUUUAUUUCUGAUCCAUGAAGCAUGGUGGUUUUUUGUUGUUGUUGUUGUUGUUGUUGUUGUUUUUGUUUUGUUUUGUUUUGGUUACACUUUAUUGACCUCACACAUUCUGGUAGACAGAAAUAGGCUAUACAUGAUUGUACAUCCUCAAGCUGUCAUGCAGUACAUUGAGGAUCCUCAUACAGGAUAUUUUACAGCACAUGCAAGAUGAGUUCCACUGUUUACUGUUUCCACAUAUUACUGAUGGAAGACCAGGGACUGAGGGCUGCUGAGAAAACUCCACUUGACUGACUGAUUGAUUAGGUGGCCUGCACUGGAAAUCCC